AACGCGAAGAACCUUACCUGGGCUCGAACGGCUUCAGACAUUUCUUAGAAAUAGGGACUUCCCGCAAGGGACUGGAGUCGAGGUGCUGCAUGGCUGUCGUCAGCUCGUGUCGUGAGAUGUUGGGUUAAGUCCCGCAACGAGCGCAACCCUUGUCCUGUGUUGGCAUGCCGCAAGGCGCAACUCUCAGGAGACCGCCAGCGAUAAGUUGGAGGAAGGUGGGGAUGACGUCAAGUCAUCAUGGCCUUUAUGUCCAGGGCCACACACGUGCUACAAUGGGCGGUACAAAGCGCUGCCAACCCGCGAGGGGGAGCUAAUCGCCAAAAACCGUCCUCAGUUCGGAUUGCAGGCUGCAACUCGCCUGCAUGAAGCUGGAAUCGCUAGUAAUGCUAUAUCAGAACGAUAGCGUGAAUACGUUCCCGGGCCUUGUA
rnacentral:rRNA from 1 species